CCGAGCCCCAAGGUCUGUAACUGCCUUCAUGGCCAGUGUGAUUCCUUCAUUAAUCCCUGCUGGUGCUCAAUGUCCUGCAUGGACGACAGCGGGAUUCUGGGAUCGGGAAAGAUCAAGAGUCUGUAAUUUGAGCUCUACCUUGCCUGGUUCAAGUUGCUUCCUCUGUUCCUGGGUCUUGAGGAGGUGGGUCCAAGGUGUUACUUGAGCGCUUGUAUUGAUUGGCCAACGAGGAGUUUGUUCUGUGAGUGAGGCAUUCUGCCACUAUCAGAUCUGUUUCUUUUCCUGCGCAUUUUAGGUACCUGUGUGUUCUUUGAAAGCAGAUCCUAGAGCACAGUCCUUGGCCUCCAGGUCGCAUUCAUUGACUGCAGGAGUGGCAGGAGGACACCAGGACACGAAAAGACAGGAAAUGGUGAAUGCUGUUGAGCGUCCCAGGUGUGGGAGGAGGCAGCUGCAACCUGGAGGCGGUAAGGGAUACCGCUGAUACUGCUUGCCGCUGAGUCUGGUCUGUCCCCGCUGGCCCCUGCUGCUUCUGGCAUCCUGCUAGAAGGAGCUGGGCCAGCAGGCAGAGCUUCGGGCCUUUCCUUAUCUGAGCUUUGGGUGUUGCAACGUCUCUUAGCUUAGCGCGUGCUGCCCGGGUCCCCUACAGUCUGGGUCGUGAGUGGGCCGCCUUAGGAGUCGAACUGGGGCUUUUUUGCAGAGAUGAGGGAGGGGGAUCUACGUGGAUGGUAGCUGUUAAUUCACUGCCCUGCUCUUUACCUAAAACCUCGCCACACUCCCAUGUAAUGUCUCAGGAUGCAGCUACUAAGAGUAUCUGUGACUCUCAAUAUUAUAAACAAACAAAACGGGGCAGAGAAGCAUCCGGACACAAUGACAGCCGGAGACCACUUUUUUGGAAUAGCACGGCUUUAUUCCCUGGAUGAGUAGAGCGGAAUUAACGGUCAUGCUGUGGUUAAGAACUCCAUAUGACUAGGCGCCUGCACAACCUGGCUCAAUUUCUCAUAAACCUCAAGUCAUGAGCUAAACCUCAGCUGCAGUUAAGUGACCACAAGAGCCUUGAGCCCGUUAUGUCAGGCAACAGACAGACACGUUUGUGUUAUUGAAGCUGGCAUUCCCAACCUGUGCCCCAAGUCAGGCCCAGCCCCCUGUUCUCAGUAAGCCAAUAAAGAAGAGCCAAAUAUUGGUGAAAAGCAGAAAAGAUGCAUUCAGUGUCUGUACAUUGGAAAGUGUUAACGCCUGGGGAACUGCUGCCUGCCUGUUUAGCAAGCCACUGCAUGCUGCUAUUGCUGUCACUAGGAGACUUCCUCAUGUCCAGGUUGAUUGCAUAUUCUGUUAUGUUCUGUGCUUUGGUGUUUUUUUGAAACCAAUCACAAUAAAGUCAGAAGUGCUUUGUAUAGUUAGCCGCAAUAAGCUUGGCCCUGAACCAAUGGCCUGGUAGCACUGUGUAUGCGCUUUUAUGGUUUUUGCUUUUGUUGUUGAUGUUGUUCUUAAAAUUUUUUAAAAGAUUUAUUUACUUUGAAUGUGCAUUGGUGUUUUACCUGUAUAUUUAUGCCUAUGUGAGGGUGCCAGCUCUCCUGGACCUGGAGUUACAAACAGGAGUUGUAAACUGCCAUAUGGGUGCUGGGAAUUGAACCAGGAUCCUAAACUCUGAGCUAUCUCUUCAGCCCAUGAUAAACAUUUUUUUCUUAAGAUUUAUUUAUUUAUUAUAUGUAAGUACACUGUAGCUGUCUUCAGACACUCCAGAAGAGGGCGUCAGAUCUCAUUACAGAUGGUUGUGAGCCACCAUGUGGUUGCUGGGAUUUAAACUCAGGACCUUUGGAAAAGCAGUUGGUGCUCUUAUCCGUUGAGCCAUCUCACCAGCCCCAACAUUUUUUAAUUAUUUAUUUUAUGUAUAUGAUUGCUCUAUCUGCAUGUAAACCUGUGUGCCAAAUCCCAUUACAGAUGUUUGUGAGCCACCAUGCGGUUUCUGGGAACUAAACACAGGACCUCUGGAAGAGUAGUCAGUGCUCUUAACAACUGAGCCAUAUCUCCAGUCCCUUGAUAACCAUUUUUAAUGGUCACUUAUUGUUGUGAUUUAUUUAAAAACAAAAACAAAAACCAACAAGAUAUGUUUGGUAGAGCUGAGUAUGGUGAGGUGGGAGGGAUGCAUUGGUGGGCCCAUGCUGAGGCAUCCCUUCCUCCUGAGGUACCAGUCAUACAAUGGGUAUAGUAUAGAAUAGAGUUUAUUUAUAGAUAUGGGAAAGGGAAUUGAGGAGGGAGUAGAGACAGAGAAUGACAGAGACAGACAGACGGACUGACAGGCUGAUGGGGACGGGGGGAGUGGGGAGAGGGAGAAAGGAGUCAGGGAGAGAAGAGAGUCAAAGAGAGACAAGGGGCAAAGAGCAGUUUUUGCUUUUAUAAGCUGCCCCUGGGAUGGCUGUGAGUAUUCAAUAAAUAAGAGAGACACCUACACCAAUAGAAGAAGCCAUUUGAAAUAAGACUUCUGGCUGGAGAGAUGGCUCAGAGGUUAAGAGCACUGACUGCUCAUUCAGAGGUCCUGAGUCCAAUUCCCAGCAACCACAUUGUGGCUCACAACCAUCUGUAAUGGGAGGGAAUUUAAAAACCUGUUUUGGUGUGUGUCUGAAGAGAUCAACAGUAUACUCACAUACAUAAAAUAAAUAAAUCUUAAAGAAAGAAAGAAAGAAAGAGAGAGAGAGAGAGAGAGAGAGAGAGAGAGGCUGCAAAACAAAAGAAGCGAGCAUGCCUGAGACAGUGGUUACUAACCACUGAACACGGGAAUGAAUGCUGGUCUCAUGCUGGGAAACAGUUUGUAACGUGUUCAGACUGCAUGCUUUCCAAGUCUCCUGAGGACAGCGCGACUAGAAACAGUGCGAUUCAUGUAUGGUGAGGAGAAGGCUGAGCCUCAGUCACAGUGGAAAACUGCAUAUUGGAGAUACCAGUAGAGGGGGACGAGCAUCCAGGACAGCAGCCUGAGCACAGGAGACUAUCUAUGUAUGCUUCCAGGAGCAGAGCUGGGGAAGUGGAGCUGUCUAAGUCAGUCCUUGGGAGCCCAGGAGAUGGUGCGUCAAUUCCAAUGUGGGACACUAAGCGAGGC
rnacentral:lncRNA from 1 species